UUUUUACUAUGGUUAAUUUUUUUUACUAUGAAAUGGUAAAAAAAAAUAUUUUUUAUUAUUAUAAAUAAAAAUAUAAUUUUUAAUUUAUUGAUUAAUUAUAAAUCCGUUGAACCGUUGUUGAACCAGUGAACCGUUACCGGUGCUUUGACCGUUCAAUGUCCGGUUCGGUUCUGAUACUAUUGAUCCAUUAUUUGAAUAGUUCCCAUCUCUAAUUCCUAUAUGAUUCUUUCUAAUUAUAGACAUUAGCCGAUCUUUCUUUCAAAUAGAAACGGGAACAUUCUAGAUUCUAUUGACGAACUUUUAUUGAUCCUUAUUAUUGAUCAAUAUUAUUCUCCAGAAUGGUAGAUUGACAAUGACUACCAUAUUCAUAUUUAUAUUUAUAUUUAACUAAAAGUUGUCUUUUUUUUUUAAUUGAUCAAAUAUACCCACUAACCAGUCUAUUUCAAUCAUUGUCUCGGCUAAUGAAGGUAAGGAAGAAGCUUUAUAUAUUUUAUAUUUGUCAUAAUUGUUACUUGUUAGCAGUAGUACUAUGGGAAAAUACAUUUCACCCCACGAUAGGUCGGAAAAACUUUAAUUAUCGUAUGUUCAUUGAAAAUAUACACCUGUUAGUUUUCAGGUGAGUUAUCAAAACUUGUUGUCCUUCAAUAUAAGUAAUAUUUUGUCGAACAAUAGAAAAAAUAAAAGACAAAAUAAAAAUAGGUCCAAUGAUUGGAAGAUAAUAUAUAGAAGAGUUAGUGUUGCUCUCUCUCUCUAGCGUGUUCAAGACUUUUGCAUGACUCACAUGACCGCCAUCUCUCUCUAUUUUGUUGUUCUGAUUAUUAUUCCGAAACUGAAUUGGCUCACUUGUGAUUUGCAUAUUCUUCGUUUUAAUAUAUAUGGGCCAACUGUUUUUUGGUAAUUGAGAAUCCAUUGGAAGACCAAUGCGUGAGUGAUUCGAGGCUGUCAAACCUUCCUAAUUACAAGGAAGUAUAUAAAGGCAGCUAUCUAAAAGACUUGAUCUUAUUCAACCAUCUUAGCAUUAUGGGGUUCUUGUUGUGCCCAAAACGAGUUACCAGUCCCUCACUAACAUCAACCACACACACAAGACAAUGAUUUACGUGGUUCGGCCAACAAUGCCUAGUCCACGGGAGGAAUCUGUUAAUCACUAUCAGAAAUGAAUUACAAUAAAUCCAAAGGAGGAGAUCACACUCCACUAACUCUUCUCGCUAUCUCACAGUCUUGCUCUUUCACUCACAGCACCUCACUCACUCUAUACUGCCCUCUUCCUCACUCUCUGUACUUCUCCCGCCUCCCUUCCCCUCUCUGAUCUGCUCUCCUUAUAGAGGAGAUCGGGCCUCCAUUGUUGACAAUCACCGCCGCAUCCUUCUCUCUCUGCCAUUCUUUUCCUUCCCGCCUUCUAAUCAGAGACUUUGUCUCUGACAGAUUGUCAAAUUGAGGCUGCUUCUGGAAGAGAGAUUGAAGGCAAUUGGUCAAGGCAUGGAAGACUUGUGCCUUGGGCUUUCUAUGUGGCUUAAUGGGCUUGCUCCCAUGGCUGAUCCAACAAUCUCCCCUCCAGUCCCAUUGGAGGGUAACUCUGAAAUCUUCAAGUUAAUCCAUCUCUGACACUUCUGUCCGCUCCCCCGUAAAAGAUCUGCAAGACUGCAUCCGAAGAUAUCUUGGCCCUCAUCAAUGGGCAAUGCACUUCCAGACUGAAUGCCUGCACCUUCUUCCUUAGGUGCUCACUCCCCUCACCGGAGGCUCCGCAAAGUACCUCACUUUUCGAGUCCGUCGUGGCCUCUCGCUCUCGCUCCCUGGUGUACCAUCUGAAGAGCUCACUGCCACUAAUCAAAUCGAGAGCAAAAGAGAACUCGUUUUCCGUCGACGUCGCGCCUGUCCGAUUUACAACUUCUUCAGAAUUCGACUUUGUUCUCCUUCCUCUGGACUUUUUCUAUGACAUCCUGCACUGGCGCACUGGUCCUUUUCUGGUCAUGACUUCCGCACGUGUCUCAAAGCAUCUCUUGCGUACCACUCUGGCUCCUCCAGGUGUCUCUGCGCUUGCUUUGUGUGCCUGUGUGCACCUCUGCUUCCCUUGUCCAUUCUUCCGUCUUAUAUCACUGGACCUAUGUCGGACAGCAUCUCUUCCUGUCUGGACAUUCCCCUCCAUUCGAUAUAGUCCUUUGAUCUUCCUUCCCUCGCAUCUCUUUGUUUCCUUGAAAUUUCUCAAGAUUCCUCCCUUAGCUCAAUGCUGCAACCCAUUGAUCUAGCAUUCCGAUGGAAGUAAAUUCUUUCGUAGUUUGGGAACAUGCCGUACCUCGGUCACACGUUUACGACCUCCCGUCUGCCAUGCGGACCACGCGAAAUUUUUUAUAAAUAUAAGUAUAAUAAAAAACCGGACUGUUUCCUUGCCACCACUUUGUUCCGUCGUGUUUUGUUCGCCAUCCGUACAAUCCCUCGCAUGUUGAUAUGUAGAGAACAUCGCCUGUCUCUACAAAAUGGUAGCACUUCCUGAAUCCAAUACCAGUCUGGAUUCUCAUCUGCCGAUGAGACUAGGAAUGCAUCAUUAUCGAUCUUCAUCACUGAUGCCGAUGCUGAUGCUGUCUCUGAAGACUGGAUCUGUGCUUUAUACUUGGGCAAUUUCCUCUUCAUAUGCCCUUCUGAUCACCGAAAAACACUUAAAACGGCGACCCCUUGAUUGGACUCGGCCGUCCUCUCCCAUUAUUCCUCUGUGACCUCGACCUCGUUCCCUCUUCCGUCUGAGAUUAGGGCCUGCGACUCCUUCGCUCUGUCAGCCCAUCCUUCUUCCGUGCUUCUUCGUUGAAUGGGCAUCCUUUUACUGUAUUCAAAGUCAACUUCCCAUCCUUCGCGGAAUUAUACGAGAGAAACACCAAUGUCUCCCAACUCUCAGGUAAAAACUCAGAAGCAGUAGGGCCCAUCUCUCGUCAAAUAUUAGUCAACACUGCUCAAUUGGUGACCAAAUUCUGGAACUCCUUGUAUGUUUCGCCACGGUCCCUCUCUGUAGUUUUCAAAAUUUACAAGCCUCCUCAGUUCAUAAGGCCUUGUUCGAGAUGUCUUCGCUUGGUAACAUCUUCUCAAUUUGGUCCAUACAUCGGAACCCUCGGCUCUUGUGGGCUACGUGGUGGAACCCCUCGUGUCCAAUGCACUGUCUGAUAGCCCGAUGUAUUUUUCUGUCAUCUUCGUCCACCUCCUCAUCCUUCUCUCUGCCGGUUUUUCUCCUUUAUUCUCUAAAGGAUCAUGCAAAUCUUUGCAAAUAGGAUGUCCUUCCAUCCGCGGAUUUCCAUAGAGCGGAAUUUUGUAGCUGAAAGCAUAAUCCAUAGCUCCCCAAAUUAGACUCCGCCAUAUUACUUCUCUAAUAGAAGCAAAAUCUUCGAAAACCGACCCCGCGGAUUGAUCCGGACGCCGAGAAAACUCAGAAUAGGCUUUUUUCGUCAAAAAAUCAUACACUUCUGGGACCCAAAUUGCAUCAAUUGAAACUUAGGGACUAACUUGAAAUUUUCAUUUUUCCAUGGACCUAAUUGCAAUUUCCAAAGUACCAGGGACCAACUGCAAUUUCCCAACUUCAGGACCAAUUGAAAAUAUCAGAAAUUCAGGUACCGAAGUAUUUUUCACUUUUCGGUCACGCUGGUGCUAAGGGCAACGUUGACCAGUCAACGGUCAGCGGCCCUGGUUACGCUGGACUUGACUGGUCCGCGGCUCGGCUGGUCAACUCGGUCAACGUCUCUAGCUUGAUCGUUAACGGCUCGGGUCACCCGGUCAACGACUCUUGGUUUACCGAUCGGCGCUUUCCGCUCUAUUCGCUCGCGCGUGUAUCAAACGCGAGGUUCUGCGCGGCUCGCGCGCGUAUCAGCGCGGCUCACGCCACGGAUCAACUUGCUUCGGCUGAGGCGCGUAGUCAGCGACUUGCCGCCACUUGCUGGCGCGUGCAAGGCGCGUGCGUGGCGGUGAGGCCACGUGGGCGCGCUGGGUUGGCGCGUGGCCGCGCGUCAGGCCUUCUCUAUGCGCUGUUCGGGCGCCGUGGCGCGCGUGGGCGUGAAUCUCAGUCGUCUUCAACUGCCUCUCCCGCGCGCGUGUGCGCGUGGAUCUGAUGCUCCUACCCUUCAUCGGCUCGUGAGGGCUGUUUGGAGUUCCGAUUUUGACUCCGUUUUGGUGCUGGAGCUUCGUAUCGAAGAGACGAGGUGAGGUAUACUCAAAUCUCAGUUUUGAGCAAUUCGAAUUUGGUCAGAAUCUCGAAGAUUUACUCCGGUUGGCACUCCGGUGACUCCGCGGGACUCGAAUUUGGCUCUGAUCCCAAUUGUUGUGCCCAAAACGAGUUACCAGUCACUCGACCAACUCACCCACACACACAAGACAAGAUUUACGGUCGGCAACAAUGCCUACGUCCACGGAGAGGAAUCUUUCCUUCACUAUCAGAAAUGAAAUUACAUAAAUAAAGGAAGGAGAUCACACUCAACUCCCUCUUCUCUCUAUCUCACAGUCUUGCUCUCCGUCACUCACCGCACUCCUCAAUCUUACUGCCCUCUUCCUCACUCCUGUACUUCUCCCCACUCACUUCCUCAUCUCUGAUCUGGCUCUCCAGCCCUUAUAGAGGAGAUCGUCCUCCAUGUGUGACAAUCAUCAUCCGCAUCCGUCUCUCUCUGCCAUUCUUUUCCUUCCUCCGCCUCUAUCAGAGACUUUGUCUCUGACAGAUUGUCAAUUGAGGCUGCUUCUGGAAGAGAGGAUUGAAAGGAUUGGCAGGGCAUUGAAGACUUGAGGCCUUGGGCUUUCUAUUUGGCUUAAUUGGCUGGCUCCAUGGGCUGGAUCCAACAGUUCUUUCUAUUGCACUAGAGUAUCUCUUAAUAAAAUAUUAGUAUAUUCAGGUUUGGUUUUAAGUAUUGACAUUUACGAACUUAUUGAACACACUAAGUUUCUUCCUUUACAAAGUAUUAUACCCAACUCUAAAGGCCAAAGUUAGAAUUAUUUUUCCUUUUUUUUUUUUGGAAUUAGCUAUCUUUUAAGUGGAACAACUUAUGUUUCUACCUGUAGUAUUUUAGUUUGUAUGUUAUCAAUUUUUAAUUUUUUAUUUCUCUUUUUAUUUUUAUUUUUAUUUUUAAUUUUUAUAUUUUUUGUUUUUGUUUUUGUUUUUAUUUUUAUUUUUUAUUUUUAUUUCUAUUUCUGUUUUCCUUUUUUGUUUCUAUUUUUAUUUUCUGUUUUUAUUAUAUUUUUGUCUGUUUUCUGUUUUUAUUUCUUGUUUCUAUUUCUAUUUUCUGUUUUUUUAAUUUUAUUUUUUGCUUUUUGUUUUUUAUUUUAUGUUUUUAUUUAUGUUUUCAGAUUUUUUGUGUUCUCAGUUUUUAUUUUUUAUUCGAUUUUAUUUUUUUAGUUUAGUUUUUUAUGUAUUUUUUUGUUUUUUUGUUUCUAUUUCUAUUUUCAUUUUUAAUUUCUAUUUAUUUUUUUAAUUAUAAUUUUAUGUUUCUAUUUAUGUUUUUAGUGUUUUAUAUGUUCUCAAAUUUUAUUUUUUAUUUUUAUUUUUAUUUUAUAUUUCUAUUUUUUAAUGUUUUUUCAUUGUUUUUUUAUGUUCUCAAAUUUUAUUUUUUUAUUUCUUUGUUUUCUAUUUUAUUUUUAUUUUUUGUUUUAUUCCUAUUUCUAGUUUUAGUUUUAGUUUUCAUUUAUAUUUUUUUUUUCAAUUUUCGAUUAUUUUUCUAAGUCUGUUUUUAAUUUCUUUUUAUUCAUUUUUGUUUUCUUCUAUUUAUAUUUUUUUUCUACUUCCUAAUUUCUUUUUUUUCUACAUCUAUUCCUAUUUAUGUUUUCUGAUUUUAUUUUUAUUUUUAUUUUUACUUUUUGUUUUGUAUUUCAAUUUCUAUUUUAUGUUUUUGUUAUCAUAUAAGAAUAUAAUGGCAGCUAUCUAAAAUAUUUGAUCUUAUUCAACCAUCUCGGCGUGAUGGGGUUCUAUCUAUUGCACUAAGUAUCUGUAUAAAAGAUUGGUAUUCUAGGUUUGGCUUUAGCUAAUGACAUCUAGAGUACACAGCCUAUUGAAACACGCUAUGGUUACUUCCUUUAUAGUAGUUUUAUCAUAGUACUCUAAAACGGCUAAAGUUGAAAUUUUUUUUUCUUUUUUUUGCAAUUGCAUCUUUUAAGAGGACAACUGCUCUUCCUACUGUAUAUUUAGUUUUUAUGUUCUCAAUUUUUUAUUUUUUUAUUUUUAUUUUUAUUCUCUCUUUUUAUUUUCUCACUUUUGUUUAUUUUUUUUUGGUGUUUAUUUUUAUAGUUUUAUUUUUUGUAUUUAGAUUUUUUUAUGUAUUUUUUGUUUUUGUUUUUUCUAUUUCUAUUUUUGAUUCUAUUUAUGUUUUCUGAUUCUAUUUUUAGUUUAUAUUUCUAUUUUUAUUUUAAAUUUCUAUUUAAGAUUUUUAUUUUAAUUUUAUGUUUCUAUUUAUGUUUUUCAGUGUUUUUAUGUUCUCAAAUUUUAUUUUCUAUUUUUUUUCUUAAUAAUUUUAUUUUUAUAUUUUUAUUUCUUUUUAUGUUCUCAUUUUUUAAUUUUUGUUUCUAUUUCUAUUUUUUUGUUUUAUUCUUAUUGCUAUUUUUAUUUUCAGUUUUUUAUUCUAUGGGGGGGGGGGGAGGGGUUUUUUCGUUUUAAUAAUCUUAUAUAUAAUUUUUGUUCUAUUUCUAUUUUAUUUUCUACUUUCUAUUUCCUAUUUUUGUUUUCCUAUUUCUACUUUUAUUUUCUACUUUUUGUUAUGUAUUUCAAUUUCUAAUUUAUGUUUUAAUUUUUUAUUUUAUUUAUGUUUUCAGUUAUUUUAUGUUUUUAAUUUAUUUCAUCUUUUAAUUUCUAUUUCUAUAUUUUUAUUUUUAGUAUUUAGUUUAAGUGUUUAAUUUUCUUUUAUUAUAUAUUUAAUAUUUUUUAUUCAAAUUCUAUUUCUAUUUUUUUUUCUGUUUUUUUUUUUUUUUUAUUUCUAUUUCUAUCUUGCGGGAUCAUAUUCUAUUUUUAGUUUUUAUUUUAAUUAUCUAUUUCUAAAUUUAUUCUUAUUUUGAAUUUUCUUUAAUUUUUAUUUUCUGUUUUUACUUCUCUUUUUCUUUUCUUUUCUUUUUCUUUUUCUAAUUUUUAUUUUUAUUUUUUAAUUCUAUUUCUAUUUGUAUUUCUGUUUAGUUAAUCUACUUCUAUUUUUUGAUUUCAUUUCUAGUUUAUAUUUUUAUUUCUGUUUUUAAUUUUUAUUUUCUAUUUCUAUUUAUUUAUUCAGUCUUUUUUAUGUUCUUAAAUUUUAUUUUUUAUUCCUCUUUAGAGUUUUGUUUUUGUUUUUGUUUUAUGUUUUCAGUUUUUUUUAUCUCAAUUUUUAUUCUAUUUCAGUUAAUAAUUCUCUUUUAGUUUUUUGUUUUCAUUUCUUUGUUCAGUUUUUAUUUUUAUUUCUGUUUAUAUGUAUAUGUAUUUUAUAUUUUUAUUUUGUUUCUGUUUCUGUUUUAUGUUUCUAUUUCUAUUUCUUUUUUAUGAUUCUAUUCCUAUUUCUGUUUUUAGUUUAUAAUUCUAUUUUCAAUUUUAAUUUCUUUUUUUAUGUCCAGUUUUUAUUUCUGUUUCUCUUUUUUUUAAUUUCUACAUUUAUUUUCUCUUUUUAUGCCUAUUUUUGUAUUCUAUUUUUUCUUCUUCUAUUUUUAGCUUUUAUUUCAGUUUUUUUUUCUAUUUCUGUUUCUAUUCUUGUUUUUUUAUUUUUUUAUUUUUUUAUUUUUUAUUUUUUAUUUUUAGUUUUAUUUCAACUUCUAUUUAUAGUUCUUAAUUUUUAUUUUCAAUUUCAAUUUCAAUUUUUUAUUUUUUGGUUUCUUUUUUUGUUUUUUAUUUUCAGUUUCUAUUUCUAUUUUUUUCAGUUUUAUUUCUAUUUCCAUUUAUGUUUUUAGUUUUUUAUUUUAUUUGUUUCAGUAUUUAUUUUCUGCUUUUAAUUUUUAUUUUCAGCUUCUGUUUAUGUUUUUAGUUUUUUUACUGUUCGCAUAGUUUAUUUUCUCUUUCUCUUUCUCUUUCUGUUUUUAAUUUUUAUUUUUAGUUUCUAUUUUAAUUUUUAAUAUUAAUAUUAUUUUUUUAUUUUAGUUUCUUUUUUAUUUCUUAUUCUUUACUCUUUAUUCUUUAUAUCUGUUUUUAUUUCUGUUUUUCUAUUUCUACUUUCGUUUUUGUUUUUUUUUUACAUUUUUUUUAUUUUUUUUUAUUUUUAUUUUUUUAUUUUUAUUUUUUUUUGUUUUCUGUUUUCGUGUUUUACAUUUAAAUCUAUUUUUAAUUUUAAGUUUCUAUUUCUUCAUUUAGUUUCAUGUUUUUAUUUUCAGUUUAUAUUUUUUUGUUUACUAUUUUUUAUCUUUUUCUAUUUCUAUUUUUGUGUUUUAGUUUACAAUUUAUUUUUUUUAGUUUUUUUAGAUGUUCUUAUUUUUUAUUUUUUAUUUUCAGUUUAUAUUUCUCAAUUUGCUUUUAGUUUUUGUUUUUAUUUUUUGGUUUCCUUUUUUAUUUUCAAUUUCUAUUUGUAUUUGUAUUUGCUGUUUUUGGUUUUUGUUAUUUUUUUUAAUUUUUUUUUUUUUGUUUUUAAAAAACUAAUUUCUAUCUCCGAUUUUAUUUUUAUUUUUUAUUUUUUGGUUUUAGUUUAAAAAAAAAAAAAUAUUUUUACAUUUUUUAGUUUUUAAUUUCUAGCGUUUUCACUCUGUUUUUGAUUCCAUUUAUUUUUAUUUUAUUUUUUAUUUUCAUUUUAUUUUUCGUUUCUCAUUUCUAUUUCUUUCUAUUUAUGUUUUUUUUCUAUUUCUGUUUCGAUUUUAUGUUUUCAAUUCAUAUUUCUACUUUUUUGUUUCUAUUUCGAUUUUCUGAUUGUAUUUUUAAUUUUAGUUUUUAUUUCUGUUUUUAGUUUCUCUUUUUUUUUAUUUAAUUUCUCUUUUUUUCUUUUUAUUUUCUUUUUCUAUUUUUUAUCUUUUUCUAUUAGUUUCUAGUUCUAUCUUUUUUCAUUUUUUUUCUAUUUUUAAUUUUUAGAUUUUUAUUUUUAUUUUUUUUCUAGUUCUAGUUCUAUCUUUCUAUUUCUAUUCCUAUUUCUAUUUAUGUUUUUUAUUUCUAUUUUUCAUUUAUUAUGCUAUUUUCAGUUUUGAUUUCUGUUUUCUAUUCUGUUUUUUGUUUUUGUUCCAAACAACUAAUAUAAUAAUUAUUUUUUUUUUUCUACAAACGGAUCUUGAAAUUUUUGAAUAUCGGAUUGAGAAACCCAAAAAAGUGAUUCCAUUCCGAAUUGAGGAUUCUAGCCAUCCAAACAGGACCUCAAUGCUUGGAAGUAUUGUUAGUAUUAGAAUUUUAACGGGUCAUCAAAUGGGGGAUGACUAUCGUAACUGCUAUAAACCCAAGGGGUUGUUUGGCUAUCGGAUUUAGAGGGAAUAACUUUUUUUCCCGUAAUUUUUUCUCGCCGGCGUUUGGGCUGACAGAUAUUGAGGUGGAUAAUUUAUGCCCCCGGAGGUGGAUAAGGCAGAUAUUUUUGGUGGGCCUAAACCCUAACUAAAAGUUAUCCCGGAAGCUAGUGGUCGGAGGAUAAGAAAAAAAUCUAUAAAGAAAAUAAAAUAUAUAAUUUUUUUAUAUAGAAGAGAGAAUACAAUAUAUAUUUUUUUUAUAUCUAAAUCUUUUAUAGUUUGUUUAUCUAUAUAUAUUUCUUCCAUCUCUCCACCCUUAUUCACCCAUUCUAAAAAGCAUCCAAAUAAAAUUAAAAGUUAUCCCCUCUCUAAAAAUUAUCCCAUUCUAAAAGUUAUCCCCAUCCCAUAUUCUUCUGCCAAACAAGCCUUAAAUAGUUGAGCAUCCACAUCAGCCUCAUCAAAUUAGAGCUAAAUUAUAACUUCAAAAUCACAUAAUUUAUUUUAACUAGUCGUUUUUUUAACACUUAAUCUGUUUUUCUAUUUUUCUAUUUUUCUAUUAUUUAUUUAUUAUUCUUUUACUAUUUAUUGAUUCUAUGCUAUAAUUUUUUUUUAACUCCCAUAGUUUUAAUAAGGUUUUUAUUGUGUCCCACGGAAGUAUUUCUUAAAAUAUAUAUUUUUCAAAACAAUC
rnacentral:lncRNA from 1 species